UACAGAGGGUGCGAGCGUUAAUCGGAAUUACUGGGCGUAAAGCGCACUGAGGUGGCGACGUAAGUCGGGUGUGAAAGCCCCGGGCUCAACCUGGGAAUUGCAUUCGAGACUGCAUUGCUGGAGUACGGAAGAGGAGGGCGGAAUUCCCGGUGUAGCGGUGAAAUGCGUAGAUAUCGGGAGGAACAUCAGUGGCGAAGGAGGCCCUCGGGUGCAGUAGUGACACUCAAGUGUGAAAGCGUGGGGAGCAAACAGG
rnacentral:rRNA from 1 species